AUGAAAUAGCAUUCUACACAGCCUCUAACAUGAGCCUUAAUUCGAAAAUGGUAGGUUAUUUUGAGAAAAAAUUGACCAACUCAUACGUCGACAAGGAUGAUUUUAUCCUUCCAAGUAGCAUUCUUGAAUUUCUCCCAGACAAUGAUCGUGAAACUGUUGUAAUUUCUGAAAGAGGUGCAUACUUAAUGAAAUACAAAGUUGGUGCUCAUAUGCGGCUCUAUCAAGGAUGGAAAGAAUUUAUAGAUGCUAACGGAUACAGGAUAGGGGAUGUAUUGUGUUUCAAGGCCUGUGACGCUGCUAGGGACCGGAUACACUUCCUUGUUGAAAAAAAACAGGAGAUCAUAGAAAUAGAUUAGACUGGUCUCCGUGUUUUCAAUUUAAGCAAGGUUUAUGUUGGAGCACAUGUAACACCUUUGCUUUCUAAAUUAAAGGGAUUUCAUUCAUCAA